GAGAGUGUAGCUCAGUGGUAGAGCACUUGCCUAGCAGAUGCAAUGCGUUAGGGUUCAAUCCCCAGUCAUACACA
rnacentral:tRNA from 1 species